rnacentral:tRNA from 1 species
GAUGUUUUGGUAUAUCGGUAACGCACUUGACUUCCAACCUAGAGAUCCCUGGUUCGAGUCCAGGUGUCUCCA